rnacentral:rRNA from 1 species
GACGAACGCUGGCGGCGUGCUUAACACAUGCAAGUCUAACGGAAAGGCCCUGCUUGCAGGGUACUCGAGUGGCGAACGGGUGAGUAACACUUGGGUGAUCUGCCCUGCACUUCGGGAUAAGCCUGGGAAACUGGGUCUAAUACCGGAUAGGAGCCAUUUUUAGUGUGAUGGUUGGAAAGUUUUUUCGGUUUAGGAUGAGCUCGCGGCCUAUCAGCUUGUUGGUGGGGUAAUGGCCUACCAAGGCGGCGACGGGUAGCCGGCCUGAGAGGGUGGACGGCCACAAUGGGGCUGAGAUACGACGCAGACUCCUACGGGAGGAAGCAGUGGGGGAGAUUGCAGAACGGGCGGAAGCCUGCUGCAGCGGCGCCGCGUGGGGGACGACGGACUUCGGGUUGGAAAAAACUUUCGCUAGGGACGAAGCUUUUUGUGACGGUACCUAGAUAAGAAGCGACGGCUAACUACGUG